UACGUAGGGGGCAAGCGUUGUCCGGAAUCAUUGGGCGUAAAGCGCGUGUAGGCGGCUCGGUAAGUCUGCUGUGAAAGUCCAGGGCUCAACCCUGGGAUGCCGGUGGAUACUGUCGAGCUCGAGUCCGGAAGAGGCGAGUGGAAUUCCUGGUGUAGCGGUGAAAUGCGCAGAUAUCAGGAGGAACACCAAUGGCGAAGGCAGCUCGCUGGGACGUGACUGACGCUGAGGAGCGAAAGCGUGGGUAGCAAACAG
rnacentral:rRNA from 1 species